GGGGAGCAUCCAUAAACUGAGAUGUUUCCUGAUAGAAUCUUCCUAUAGAAAACUCCUGUAAUUUCCUGCUUGUGCUACUCCAGUAAAUUCUACAAGUCUCAAAUUACAAGAUACAUGA